AUCCUCUGUAGUUCAUAAGUGUGAUGAUUGGGUGUUCACGCUGUCGUGGGAUAUGUGCCUACCUCAAACCUUGUUACAACCUCAACAAUUACCCACUGAUG